rnacentral:rRNA from 1 species
AGAUUGAACGCUGGCGGCAUGCCUAACACAUGCAAGUCGAACGGGAGUAGCAAUACUCUAGUGGCGGACGGGUGAGGAAUACGUAGGAAUUUGCCCUUAAGUGGGGGAUAACCCGGGGAAACCCGGAUUAAUACCGCAUGACCUCGAAAGAGCAAAGUGGGGGAUCGCAAGACCUCACGCUUUUGGAGAAGCCUACGUCGGAUUAGCUAGUUGGUGAGGUAAUGGCUCACCAAGGCGACGAUCCGUAACUGGUCUGAGAGGAUGAUCAGUCACACCGGAACUGAGACACGGUCCGACUCCGUACGGGAGCAGCAGGUGGGGAAUAGUUGGACAAGU